AAUGCAUGCAAUUUUGUUGCAAUAUUUAUUGUAUUUACUUCUUCAUAAAAGUGUCCCUAAACUUUCAGACAGCGCAAUAUGUCCAACUCUAGUUUAGAGUUCCUCGUACAACUACAUAAAACCCCGAACAAAGUCAAACAUGGCAUUCAUGUCUAAAUGCAGUCUACGUCACCGGCAAGAACAGUUUUAUUAACUGUUUUUCACGUUGUUCGUCGCGCCACCGUCGAAAAAAAGUAAUAGAAACAUUCCAUAGCAAUUCUCGAGCCGGAAAAGUUGCAUGAUCCGACGUAGAAUAACUCAUCUUCAAGCUCUCCGGUAUUAACCGUCUGACGUGACCCAUAAAAAAGGGAGACUACCACACCAAGACGCUCAAGCCGAGGACAAGAGUCCACAGCCUAAAAGAGGGAUGGUUAAUGAAACUUUAAUUCGACUGCCUGGCCUCGUUUAAUCGUUGCGUUUUUCAUUUCCUGCUUUUGGCAAGGACAGACAAAGAGCAAACAAAGAAAAAGACAAUGGGGGCUAGGGAUACGAAGGAAAAAAAACAGUGGCGUGCUUCGUCGGGGAAAAAGAAGUUACGAUCACUUUUAAUAUUCUGGAGUAACUUCGAAUGAUAAUGGUGGCACUUUAAUCGUCGCGGGGGAGAUUUAUGAGGCGGUAUAAUUAAAUUCAGGUUUCUAAAUAGGUUUCUGUUAGGUUCUGUUAAUAUUGUUCACUUAUGAGGAUUUUUCAAUUGAGAAUUUGUUUGGAGAAGAAAAUGAACCGCAGUUUCAAAUAGUUUAAACUAGUUAGAAGAGAAAAUACUGUACCUCGAUCAAAGUUUGGAAAUACAAACGCAAGUAGAUGCAGGGAGUAUUGGUCAGACAUCGCCUCGAAGUCGUACUCAAACGAUUAAUCAGUUCAAGUAACAAAAUGCGCAUGUAAAUCUUUCGUCAGCACCUCCAAAUCAGUUUGUACGAUCAAUGUCACGUGCACUCCGUGAACAAUUAUCUUCAGCUCUGAAAUUUGCCUCAGCCCACUAAUAGAAUUAAUUCAACGCGCAAGGUACGCGUGCAAGAAUUCGCGAACGUCGACUCGAACGCGACGCCAACGUACAAAGACCACGACAGUGAUCCCUCUCGCAUUGUACUCUUGUACAUCCGUCCGAUUAUUGCCUUUGUGACACGCUCGGUCGCAAUUUCACGGACUAAAAAUUUAAAUAAUAAGGACCCGUCGGUGCAUCGGCAAAACGGAAAUAGGGCGACCAGCGGCGGCGUGGUUUCGCUGCAUCCUGAGAAACGGCGACGCGGCAAAAGGAGGCAAAGAACACCGAAGGGAAUUAGAGCGUGGUCCGAAAAAGAUGAAAUGAAGACGAAAAAAGGAAGGAUCCGAGCCGUGGCUCGAUGAAAGUGCCCAAAGAGCGCAACACGACCGGAGGAAACGAGAAAAGAACGAUUCGGCGAUAAGCGGGGACCUCGUGGAACUAGAAAAUAGAGAAAACAUCAAUUUAAAGAGGAAUUAAAAAAUUAAAACUUCCUAACCCCCUGUGUCGUAAUAGGAGAAGUUGAGUGUUCCUCGAAAGCCUUGCCACUCUUAAAUGUUCCUGGAGAUUUAUUAAGUCUUGAAAAAUUCUGAAUCUCUUCGCAUUCUUCGGGAGGAACUUAGCUCGAAUAAAUUAGAGAGUGUAGUAGAUUAGAGGUAAAUCAUUUUUCUAUGCUUUUUGUAGUACUGCAUGAAAUAUCCAAUGUGUUGACUUUCUUAUCAAAAAAGUGAUUUAAAAGUAUCGAGUUCAUUAUAUCGUAUAGAGUGUCAUGGAAAUAUGUCGAAAAAUACUUUCUUGUAUUGAUGGAUCGGCUAGGUUAUACUAUCCUUCAGAAUAGGACAUCUUACAAGAAAAUUCCUAUGAAAGUUUCACGAUUACUCACAAGUGAAAAAGAAUACAAGAAAGGGUAACCAUCCAAAUUAAUCGAAGAAUUAAAAUUGGAAAUGACAAGAAGAAAUAAUUCGAGAGAUUAAAUAUCACCAAAAGGGUAUAAAAGCGAGAGAGAAAGUCGUGUUGGCAUCCAAGGCAAAUGACGAGAACCUAAAUAAGUAAGGCGGAAAACGGAGCCUGGAUUGACGGAAGCAGAAGCGGGAUUUAAUGGAAGCGGUGGCAAAUAAGUGCAAGAGAAGAGUUUUCUUUUUCGAAAAAGAAAGGAGGCUGAAGGGAGGGGGAGACAAAGGAUCGUCGAGAACCAAAGAUGAGGAAUGUUUUUGAAGACGGAGGGAAAGGAAGAAUGGGCGCGGGUUGGUCCAGUGGCGCGCGACAACGAAAAUAAAACAGCCGGAUGUGUACGUGCUCGGCCGAGCGAUGCCACGGGCCGUCGUCGUUUGGUACUUCCGGUUUUCCAAGGCCUCUCUCCACUCUCACCGGACUAAUUUUCCGGCUGCUCGCUGUUCUGACUAUUUUCACGACGAACGGGCUUUAGGGUGUAAUAUUCUAGCUUAAAAAUCUCCCUACGUUCAAGGAUAAUUGCCUGGAAGACUACUCGGUGGAUAUUCCGUUGGCUGGGUUGCCUUUGAAAUUUUCUUUCUGUCCUAAUUAAUUGAAGAUUCAUUAGCACUGACCACGGUGAAUUAACCUUUCCCGACAAAGAGAUAAUAUUUGUUGCGUUCGAUAAUCGAAUGAUUGCUUACUGCAGGGGUUGUAUCUAAGCUCUUCUUAAGGAAAUAAUUUGUUCAUCCUCAAUAUAUUAGUUUUUUAUGUUUAUUGACCUUUUAUAUGUAUGAUACAAUUUAUAAAUAUUUUAUUAUAUUUCUUCUUUGAAUAUUUUAAAAUGAUAUUAAUCAACGUAAAUGGAGUUUCAUGUUACGAGAAAAUUUAAGAGUUUAAGAUACAAUUUCCUUAAAAACGUUGCAAGUGUAAGUAGCUUCGUUAAACGAAGAUAAAUAAAUAAAAUUGAA